rnacentral:rRNA from 1 species
GCUUUCGAUGGUAGUGUAUUGGACUACCAUGGCUCUCACGGGUAACAGGGAAUUAGGGUUCGAUUCUGGAGAAGGAGCCUGAGAAACGGCUACUACAUCUAAGGAAGGCAGCAGGCGCGUAAAUUACCCAAUCCUGACUCAGGGAGGUGGUGACAAGAUAUAAUAACCCUAUUAACGUAGUGAUUAUAGUGAGGAUAUUCCAAACAGAAUCACAAGAACGAUUAGAGGGCAAG